AUUGAACGCUGGCGGAAUGCUUUACACAUGCAAGUCGAACAGCAGCACGGACUUCGGUCUGGUGGCGAGUGGCGAACGGGUGAGUAAUGUAUCGGAACGUGCCCAGUCGUGGGGGAUAACGUAGUGAAAAUUACGCUAAUAACGCAUACGAUCUAUGGAUGAAAGCGGGGGAUCGCAAGACCUCGCGCGAUUGGAGCGGCCGAUAUCAGAUUAGGUAGUUGGUGGGGUAAAGGCCCACCAAGCCAACGAUCUGUAGCUGGUCUGAGAGGAAGACAAGCCACACUGGAACUGAGACACGGUCCAGACUCCUACGGGAGGCAGCAGUGUGGAAUUUUGGACAAUGGGCGAAAGCCUGAUCCAGCCAUUCCGCGGGCAGGAUGAAGGCCCUCGGGUUGUAAACUGCUUUUGUACAGAACGAAAAGGUUUCUACUAAUACUAGGAGCUCAUGACGGUACUGUAAGAAUAAGCACCGGCUAACUACGUGACAGCCGCCGCGGUAA
rnacentral:rRNA from 1 species